CCUACGGGAGGCAGCAGUGAGGAAUAUUGGUCAAUGGGCUUACGCCUGAACCAGCCAAGUCGCGUGAGGGAAGACUGCCCUAUGGGUUGUAAACCUCUUUUGUCAGGGAGCAAUUGGCGCUACGUGUAGCGUUAUCGGGAGUACCUGAAGAAAAAGCAUCGCCUAACUCCGUGCCAGCAGCCGCGGUAAUACGGAGGAUGCGAGCGUUAUCCGGAUUUAUUGGGUUUAAAGGGUGCGUAGGCGGAAUGCCAAGUCAGCGGUAAAAUCGCGGGGCUCAACCUCGCUCCGCCGUUGAAACUGGCGGUCUUGAGUGGGCGAGAAGCAUGCGGAAUGCGUGGUGUAGCGGUGAAAUGCAUAGAUAUCGCGCAGAACUCCGAUUGCGAAGGCAGCAUACCGGCGCCCAACUGACGCUGAAGCACGAAAGCGUGGGUAUCGAACAGGAUUAGAUACCCCUGUAGUC
rnacentral:rRNA from 1 species